rnacentral:lncRNA from 1 species
UCAAGUAUUAGUAACAAUAAUAGCUGUUAUAUUUAGGCUAUGCCUAUAUCUAGACUAAACUGAUCUUGUUUAUGCUAAAUUCUAUACAUAAGAUUAGCUAGCAAUUACCUUAAAUUGAAGCAUCAAUUUGUUUCUCAAAAUUUAAAUACUAGAAUCAUGGGACUAAGGUAUGUAAUUCUGCAAUAAUUUGAAUUAUAAUUUCAAAUCCUCCAUUUUGAUAAAAGCUCUUAAACCAGUCUCAGAAAGAUUAAAAAUUUUGCUUACGCUGUAGCAAUUCUCAAUGGAAAUUAAAUUUUUCCGAGUAAAAUGAUCGGAAUUUGCACUACUGCCCCAAAUCCUAUUCUACCGGUGUUAGCUUGGCCUGAGCUGGUGAGGAUCGUGGCCGAUGAGGUCGCUAGAGGCGUUAGAAGUUGUAAUCCGGAAGCCCUUGACUGGUUUCGCCGGAAAGCUGUAGAGAAGCAACGAGUUGACUGUCCCAACGCAACAGAUUGCGAAAGCAGCUCCUCGUGUUGCUGCUCCAGUCGAAACAGAAGAGAGAGAGCGAGAAAGGGAGGGAUCGUAGCUUUGUCGCCAACAGCUGGAACUGGAGUCGCCGGAAAGUCGUAGAGGAGGCGCGAUUUUCCGAUCACGAACUUGCAGGUUCCUGCGAAAACUGCGCUAGUCGCGCUAGCCCGAGACAACAAAGAAGAGAGAGAGAGAGAGAGAGAGAGAGAGAGAGAGAGAGAGAGCGGCAAGGGGAUUGUGGCGGCUGAAGGAGGUGGUGCUAGUCUCAGGCGAUCGGGAAAACGAAAAUAAACGUUAGGGGAAGGUCUGAAGUCGGUGCUAAAGGGGAAAGAUGGGUUUCUAG